GAUGAACGCUAGCGAUAGGCUUAACACAUGCAAGUCGAGGGGCAGCAUGGUCUUAGCUUGCUAAGACUGAUGGCGACCGGCGCACGGGUGCGUAACGCGUAUGCAACUUGCCUCACAGAGGGGGAUAACCCGUCGAAAGACGGACUAAUACCGCGUACACUUGGGAUAGGGCAUCCUGACCCAAGGAAAUGAAAUUCGCUGUGAGAUAGGCAUGCGUCCCAUUAGCUAGUUGGUGAGGUAACGGCUCACCAAGGCGACGAUGGGUAGGGGAACUGAGAGGUUGAACCCCCACACUGGUACUGAGACACGGACCAGACUCAUACGGGAGGCAGCAGUGAGGAAUAUUGGUCAAUGGGCGAGAGCCUGAACCAGCCAAGUCGCGUGAAGGAUGACUGUCUUAUGGAUUGUAAACUUCUUUUAUACGGGAAUAACAAGAGCCACGUGUGGCUCCCUGCAUGUACCGUAUGAAUAAGCAUCGGCUAACUCCGUG
rnacentral:rRNA from 1 species